rnacentral:tRNA from 1 species
GUUAGAUGGCCGAGUGGUUAUGGCGUGUGACUCAAGCUUCCAGCUUAAUCGACUGUGUCGAUUAGUAUUCUCAUGGGCUUUGCCCGCGGGGGUUCGAAGUGAGCAAUUCACAUAACACCUGUGAAACG